rnacentral:rRNA from 1 species
AGUGAACGCUGGCGGUAGGCCUAACACAUGCAAGUCGAACGGCAGCACAGUAAGAGCUUGCUCUUACGGGUGGCGAGUGGCGGACGGGUGAGGAAUACAUCGGAAUCUACUUUUUCGUGGGGGAUCACGUAGGGAAACUUACGCUAAUACAGCAUACGCCCUACGGGUGAAAGCAGGGGAUCUUCGGACCUUGCGCGAUUGAAUGAGCCGAUGUCGGAGUAGCUAGUUGGCGGGGUAAAGGCCAACCAAGUCGAGGAUCCGUAGCUGGUCUGAGAGGAUGGUCGGCCACACUGGAACUGGGCCACGGUCCAGGCUCCUACGAGAGGCAGCAGUGGGGAAUAUUGGACAGAGGGCGCAAGCCUGAUCCAGCCAUACCGCGUGGGUGAAGAAGGCCUUCGGGUUGUAAAGCCCUUUUUUUGGGAAAGAAAAGCAGCAGGUUAAUACCCCGCUGUUCUGACGGUACCCAAAGAAGAAGCACCGGCUAACUUCGUG